UACGGAGGGAGCUAGCGUUGUUCGGAAUUACUGGGCGUAAAGCGCACGUAGGCGGCUAUUCAAGUCGGGGGUGAAAGCCCGGGGCUCAACCCCGGAACUGCCUUUAAGACUGCAUCGCUAGAAUUGUGGAGAGGUAAGUGGAAUUCCGAGUGUAGAGGUGAAAUUCGUAGAUAUUCGGAAGAACACCAGUGGCGAAGGCGACUUACUGGACACAUAUUGACGCUGAGGUGCGAAAGCGUGGGGAGCAAACAGG
rnacentral:rRNA from 1 species